rnacentral:tRNA from 1 species
GCGGGAAUAGCUCAGUGGUAGAGCGCUUCCUUGCCAAGGAAGAGGUCGCGAGUUCGAGCCUCGUUUCCCGCU